UACGUAGGGGCUAGCGUUGUCCGGAAUCAUUGGGCGUAAAGGGUGUGUAGGUGGCGCGCUAAGUCGGGUGUGAAAUUUCGGAGCUUAACUCCGAAACUGCAUUCGAUACUGGCGUGCUUGAGGACUGGAGAGGAGACUGGAAUUCAUGGUGUAGCAGUGAAAUGCGUAGAGAUCAUGAGGAAGACCAGUGGCGAAGGCGGGUCUCUGGACAGUUUCCUGACACUGAGACACGAAGGCCAGGGGAGCAAACGGG
rnacentral:rRNA from 1 species